rnacentral:rRNA from 1 species
CCUACGGGUGGCAGCAGUGAGGAAUAUUGGUCAAUGUGCGAGAGCCUGAACCAGCCAAGUAGCGUGAAGGAUGAAGGACCUACGGUUUGUAAACUUCUUUUAUAUGGGAAUAAAGUGAGGCACGUGUGCCUUUUUGUAUGUACUUUAUGAAUAAGCAUCGGCUAACUCCGUGCCAGCAGCCGCGGUAAUACGGAGGAUGCGAGCGUUAUCCGGAUUUAUUGGGUUUAAAGGGAGCGUAGAUGGUUAGUUAAGUCAGCUGUGAAAGUUUGCGGCUCAACCGUAAAAUUGCAAUUGAUACUGGUAGUCUUGAGUAUAGUUGAGGUAGGCGGAAUGCGUGGUGUAGCGGUGAAAUGCUUAGAUAUCACGAAGAACUCCGAUUGCGAAGGCAGCUUACUAAACUGCAACUGACACUGAUGCUCGAAAGUGUGGGGAUCAAACAGGAUUAGAUACCCUUGUAGUC